rnacentral:rRNA from 1 species
UACGGGGGGGGGCAAGCGUUGUUCGGAAUUACUGGGCGUAAAGGGUGCGUAGGCGGCGCGGUAAGUCGGGUGUGAAAUCUUGGAGCUUAACUCCGAAACUGCAUUCGAUACUGCCGUGCUUGAGGACUGGAGAGGAGACUGGAAUUUACGGUGUAGCGGUGAAAUGCGUAGAUAUCGUAAGGAAGACCAGUGGCGAAGGCGGGUCUCCGGACAGUUCCUGACGCUGAGGCACGAAGGCCAGGGGGAGCAAACGGG